rnacentral:rRNA from 1 species
GUGGAUUAGAUACCCUGGUAGUCCACGCCGUAAACGAUGAGUGCUAGGUGUCACGGGCUUUGACCCUCGUGGUGCCGAAGCUAACGCGUUAAGCACUCCGCCUGGGGAGUACGGCCGCAAGGCUAAAACUCAAAGGAAUUGACGGGGGCCCGCACAAGCGGUGGAGCAUGUUGUUUAAUUCGACGCAACGCGAAGAACCUUACCUGGGCUAGAAAGUACGAGAAUCCGGACGAAAGUUCGGGGUGCCCUUCGGGGAACUCGUGGUUAGGUGCUGCAUGGUUGUCGUCAACU